AAAUGACUGGCGGCAGGCUAACACAUGCAGUCGAACGGUAACAGGAAGCAGCUUGCUGCUUCGCUGACGAGUGGCGGACGGGUGAGUAAUGUCUGGGAAACUGCCUGAUGGAGGGGGAUAACUACUGGAAACGGUGGCUAAUACCGCAUAACGUCGCAAGACCAAAGAGGGGGACCUUCGGGCCUCUUGCCAUCAGAUGUGCCCAGAUGGGAUUAGCUUGUUGGUGAGGUAACGGCUCACCAAGGCGACGAUCCCUAGCUGGUCUGAGAGGAUGACCAGCCACACUGGAACUGAGGCACGGUCCAGACUCCUACGGGAGGCAGCAGUGGGGAAUAUUGCACAAUGGGCGCAAGCCUGAUGCAGCCAUGCCGCGUGUAUGAAGAAGGCCUUCGGGUUGUAAAGUACUUUCAGCGGGGAGGAAGGUGUUGUGGUUAAUAACCGCAGCAAUUGACGUUACCCGCAGAAGAAGCACCGGCUAACUCCGUGCCAGCAGCCGCGGUAAU
rnacentral:rRNA from 1 species